AGAGGCUGAUAGAACAAAACCCAUGUUCUAUGCUGUGACUAUAUGACUCGUGUUCAGUAGAUUCAAAAAAUGGUAGAGUGUUGGCCCACUUGGAUGAUUGGUGCUCUACUAUACUGAACAGACUGCAUUUUGUAGAAUCAGCAUUUGGAGAAGCAUAGCACAGAGCUAUUUAUGAUUUGAAAAAUCUGCUGCAACAGCAGUGGCUGGGAUGAUUCUUCAAGAUCAUAGAGUGCCCAAAAUAGCAGGAGAGGAAUGCAAACAGACAUCUGACCUAAUUUUGCGGUGUGACGUACCAAGUGUUGGACGAGAUAGGGAACUCCCUCAUCUCCCAGCGGUUGAGCCUGCUGUGGAGCAUCGUCAACUGCCUCUCCAGCCGGUGCUCCAGGAUGUACUGGAGGACACCUCUGUCUCCCGCUUGGUGAACUCCUGCUGUGCCCUGACGGCCACGCCCAACUGGUAGUAGACCACGGCCAGUUCGUCCUCCAGGAGAUGGACCUCUUGGCCAGUCAGAAGGCCCUGCCCUACAGCA